rnacentral:pre_miRNA from 1 species
AGUGGGAUAACUGGGUUAAAUGGUGGUUCCAUUCCACGUCUUUCUGAGGAAUCUCCACACUGCUUUCCAGAGUGGUCGUACCAAUUUGCGGUCCCACCAGCAAU